rnacentral:lncRNA from 1 species
AGAACAGGAUUUCUGAGCAUGCAGUCAUAACUCUAGGUCAUUCAUUAAUUUCAGGCCCUGCUAGCAGAUACCAAGGAUGACAGUGAAAACAGUCACACGGAAGAAGGAGGGAGGGAGGACCGUGCACUACAAAGAACUCUUUUACACCGAGUUGAGAAAUCAUCGGGUUGUUAGAAUUGGACAGAACAUUUAACUCCCAUUCCUUUAUCAUCUAAAAUCUGAUAUCAUGUCAUUUGGUUCACUUCCUACAAAUAAUUACCUUUUGGCUACAUCAAGGUUAUAAUGAUAAGUUAUCAUUUCGGAGCCCAGACUACAGCCCUCGAACCAAGCUAAGUGACUUAAGUGUGCCAUCUCAUUUAACCCCCACAAAGAUUAUACUUGGCCAGGCUGAUAUCACUUAUUUCAUUUCACAGAUGAGGAUAUUGAUCUCAUGGUCACAAAGCUAGUAAACGGCCGAGAAUCACGCCUCGGUCUGUCCAGCUUCAAAACCUGGAUCCAUCACCAUGACACGCUGCUGAAUGAGGCCCGGGUUCGAGAGUAUCACACUUUAAAAAUAUCAUGAUGCAGAUGAGGAUGUGGUACAGUGAUGACUACCAUGUACACAGUACAUUCUAGACACACACUGUCCCCAAGUGCUUCUCUGCAUCUUCACUUAGUCCCCACUGCAACCCCAUGAGGCCAGCACUGUGACUGGAGGAUGCUGAGAGCAGUGAGGUGAAAUAAGCUGCCCGGCGUCACACAGCUGGGAACUGGCAGAAUUGGGAUUCCAGCUCAGGGAAGCGCCCAUGCUCUUAACUCUUAGGCUACACUGCCUGGCUCUUGGGUGGGGGAUCACUGCAGACAGAGUUAAGCUUUGGUGUGUGGGGGGCGGGGGAGGCAGGGGGAGGGGCAGGUGCUUCAAAGAUGGAAGGGAACACAGAGAAGGGACUUUGCCAACUAAUAUUAGCACAAGUCACAUACUGAGACGAAGGUUUUAAAGAGGAUUUUUUUCCCCCGCUAUUUGAGUUCAUGAGAAGAGUUUGUUACCUAUUGAACAAAUAGUCUUCACUAAUAAAGAACAAUGUGACAAGAAGUCAGCACUGUUCUUAGAUAACUGGGGACACAGGGAGGGCACUCCAGUGUUCCCAUGGAAGGAAUGAAUUCGGGCACAGUCCGUCCCGUGCAACUCCCCUAGGGAGAGAAGGGGCAACUGGAUUCCUCUCGACAAACUAGAAACUUUGUGACAAUGACAAGCUGUUCCCACCCCGGCCCUCCCCUAGGAUGCUGGAGAGCCCAGAGAGGGAAGAGAAGAAACCCAGCGUUGGUGCGGUGCCCACCGCGGACUCGACUUCAUUCCACCUUCACGCUGAGAGGUGACACCGUCGUUCCCACAGUGAGACCUGGCGCUCGGGUGCCCCAGGGGGGGUUGCCCAAGGUCACAGAACAGCAAGCAGCAGGCCAAGAUACCUAGAGAGAGUUCGCGGGGCCGGAGGCUCCCUGCUGUCUCCUGCAAGUGCGUGGGGGUGGGGUCUGAUUUCCACCCGUGUUGGACGUCAGCGGCCUCCGACGCUUUUUGGAAGCAGACUUUUCAGGAACACCUGCUGUGUGGCCGGCACUGUAGUAGGUGCCAGGGAUACAAAGAAGAAACUUUCAGGGCUCUUAGGAAGACAGGAAAACAAGUCAAUCAGCAAUGGUCCUAGCGUGCAGACUUUUCAGGAACACCUGCUGUAAGCCUGGCACUGUGGUAGGUGCCAGGGAUAUAAAGAAGAAAAUUUCAGGGGUUUUAGGAAGACAGCCAAACAAGUCAAUCAGCCAUGACCCUAUCAUGAUGAGGAAACUGAGGUUCUGAAUGAUUAGAUGACUCACCCGAUAUCACACAGCUGGUAAGCACGUGAACCAGGAUGAGAAACCCAGGCUAUCUAUGCCAGUGCCCAGUUAACCAGUUCACCAGAACACCAGAAGCCGCCCCCAGGGCUGCAAGCUGACCAUGCCUGGGACACAGGAGGUUGCAGUGGUGAAGAUCAACAGGCGGGGCGAGGAGCAUCUCCGUCUCCCUCUGAAGACCAUUUGGAAGAGGGUGUGAGAGCUGCCGCCAGGCUUUCCCAGAGAACAGCUGGGCCUGGAAGGGGCGGUCCAGGUCCCAUAAUAACUGCUACCUGCUGCUGCAGCAAUUUUCCCUGCUGGGUGUUUCCAAGUCCGAGUCUCCUGGGGGAGGAGGCUGGGAGGAGGAGGAGGAGGAGGGCUGAUUCUCUAAACUCCCCCUGCUUCUCACCAAAGGUCUGUCCUUGGCCCAGCUUCCCUUCCGAAGGUUGAGUAAUCUCAAAAAAUUGCAGCCUGGCAUGAAAGAGCAGGCCUGCAGGCCAAGCCAGAUCACGUCCGCACGCGGGAUGCUUGGCCCACAUGCUCCUGUACACUUGUAACUGUUAAACCAGAGGACAAGAAGCAACAGAUGUCCUCAGAUCACCAAACCAGCAAAUGCGCAGAGCCAUGGUGGGCGUCUGGCCCCAGUGCUUGGGUGGCCCCUAACAUCAGAUUAAGGAAAAAAGACCUCUCCUCAGCUGGAACGUCCCACUUCCUCCUCCCUCCUCCUCACCAGUAUUUUUCUCUCUGCUUUGCCUGGAUUGGAGUCCUGACCUGGCUACUCCCAGCUGUGUGAACUGGGCCAGCAACUUAGCUCCGUUGUGCCUCAGUUUCUCCAUCUCUAAAUGAAGCGCUUAUUCCUCUCUCAUGGAGCCGUCGUGAGAAUUACGUGAAUGAAUACAGGCUGACUACUUUGAACAGUGCCUGGUACGUAAAGCCCUGUACACUGUAGCUUUUGCUGAUGGUGGUAGACACUCUGCUAUUUAGAGAGGUGUUCUUUCUCUCGAGGCUUUGAUUCCUGCUAAAACAGAAAUCAUUUGGAAAUGGACACUUUUUCUGCCAUUUAGAGAGGUAUUCUUUGUCUUGAGCCUUUGAUUCCUGUUAAAAUAGAAAUGAUUCAAAAAUGAA